GGUUCCUGCAUCACGUAAGUCCCUCCCAGGUAUGGGCUGAGUUGCUCCAAGUCUCACUUUCUUCAUUCUGCCAGGCGGAAGAGGUCACUGAGAGUGGGGUGGUGGCCAAAAAGAUCAUGUUUUGGAAACAGGUAGCAGAAAGGCCAGAAGAGGAGUAGCCCCUGAAAAUAGCAACAACUGACCACGCUGUUCUCUUUCUAGAUCGGAGGAGACCAAGGGGCCAGGUAGCUACAGCAUCUCUGGCUGCCUGAGUACCUUCCUCCCAUCAGCAGCACAGCCACCAACUUGGGCAAGGAAAGAAAAUCUUGGACAAAAAGGGACAGUAGCCUGCCAGCCUCCUCUGUCCAUGGGAUUUUCCAGGCAAGAAUACUGGAGUGGGUUGUCAUUUCCUC
ensembl:lncRNA